UUGGUGGACGUUUAGAUAAGCACGAAUUGUACGGUGAAGUCGUGUUUAUCUAGUUCACCAAACAACGAAUGACCUCAUUAUCAAAGGCGGCGUGGGUAAGGCGUUUAAAGCGCCUUCGUUGAC
rnacentral:tRNA from 1 species